rnacentral:rRNA from 1 species
CCUACGGGAGGCAGCAGUGAGGAAUAUUGGUCAAUGGACGAGAGUCUGAACCAGCCAAGUAGCGUGAAGGAUGACUGCCCUAUGGGUUGUAAACUUCUUUUAUAUGGGAAUAAAAUGUUCCACGUGUGGGAUUUUGUAUGUACCAUAUGAAUAAGGAUCGGCUAACUCCGUGCCAGCAGCCGCGGUAAUACGGAGGAUCCGAGCGUUAUCCGGAUUUAUUGGGUUUAAAGGGAGCGUAGGUGGAUUGUUAAGUCAGUUGUGAAAGUUUGCGGCUCAACCGUAAAAUUGCAGUUGAAACUGGCAGUCUUGAGUACAGUAGAGGUGGGCGGAAUUCGUGGUGUAGCGGUGAAAUGCUUAGAUAUCACGAAGAACUCUGAUUGCGAAGGCAGUUCACUGGACUGCAACUGACACUGAGGCGCGAAAGUGUGGGUAUCAAACAGGAUUAGAUACCCCGGUAGUC